rnacentral:rRNA from 1 species
AGUGAACGCUGGCGGUAGGCCUAACACAUGCAAGUCGAACGGCAGCACAGUAAGAGCUUGCUCUUACGGGUGGCGAGUGGCGGACGGGUGAGGAAUACAUCGGAAUCUACUUUUUCGUGGGGGAUAACGUAGGGAAACUUACGCUAAUACCGCAUACGACCUACGGGUGAAAGCAGGGGAUCUUCGGACCUUGCGCGAUUGAAUGAGCCGAUGUCGGAUUAGCUAGUUGGCGGGGUAAAGGCCCACCAAGGCGACGAUCCGUAGCUGGUCUGGGAGGAUGAUCAGCCACACUGGAACUGAGACACGGUCCAGACUCCUACGGGAGGCAGCAGUGGGGAAUAUUGGACAAUGGGCGCAAGCCUGAUCCAGCCAUACCGCGUGGGUGAAGAAGGCCCUCGGGUUGUAAAGCCCUUUUGUUGGGAAAGAAAAGCAGCAGGUUAAUACCCCGCUGUUCUGACGGUACCCAAAGAAUAAGCACCGGCUAACUUCGUG